UACGAACUGUGCGAACGUUAUUCGGAAUCACUGGGCUUACAGCGUGCGCAGGCGGUUUCUUAAGUCAGAUGUGAAAGCCCCGGGCUUAACCUGGGAACUGCGUUUGAAACUGGGAGACUUGAGUGUGGCAGAGGGGGGUGGAAUUCCACGUGUAGCAGUGAAAUGCGUAGAUAUGUGGAGGAACACCGAUGGCGAAGGCAGCCCCCUGGGUUAACACUGACGCUCAUGCACGAAAGCGUGGGGAGCAAACAGG
rnacentral:rRNA from 1 species